UGGUUGGCCUGUUGCCCUGAUGUUGCAUCAGGCAGUGAUGCAGAUGAGAAACAGGCCAAUGUUAGAUUAAAGUUUUGGAACUAUUUUAUAUCCUUCUUGAACAAGAUAUUGUCAUUUUGGUCAAUGUCUCUUGAUGAUAAUGAAGAUGAUACAUGCUUUUAUAACAUGAGCCAUUAUGAAGAGGGGGAAACCGGAAAUCGGCUUGCUCUAUGGGAAGAUUUUGAGUUGAGAGGAUUUUUACCUGUUCUCCCUGCACAAACCAUCUUGGACUUCUCGGGGAAGCACUCUUUUGGAAGCGAAGGCAGUAAGGAAAAGAUAGCUCGUGUUAAAAGGAUUUUAGCUGCAGGAAAGGCUUUAGCAAAUAUUGCUAGGAUUGAUCAAAAAACAAUAUUUUAUGAUUCAAGGAUGAAGAAAUUU
rnacentral:misc_RNA from 1 species